AAUCUGGAGACAGGUGCUGCAUGGCUGUCGUCAGCUCGUGUCGUGAGAUGUUGGGUUAAGUCCCGCAACGAGCGCAACCCUUGCCUUUAGUUUGCCAGCAGUUCGGCUGGGCACUCUAAAGGGACUGCCGGUGUUAAACCGGAGGAAGUGGGGAUGACGUCAAGUCCUCAUGGCCUUUAUGACCAGGGCUACACACGUACUACAAUGGCCGAUACAAAGGGCAGCGACACUGCGAGGUGAAGCCAAUCCCGUAAAAUCGGUCUCAGUCCGGAUUGGAGUCUGCAACUCGACUCCAUGAAGUUGGAAUCGCUAGUAAUCGUGGAUCAGCAUGCCACGGUGAAUACGUUCCCGGGCCUU
rnacentral:rRNA from 1 species